rnacentral:lncRNA from 10 species
CAGAGGCACUGCUUUGCUUUUGCUGUUUUGAUCAGCUCUCUGCCUGCAGGAGACAAGGAAAACCAACGGGAACAGAUAGUGUUUCUCUCUCUGCCACCCAGGCCAGAGCGCAGUUGAUACAGGGCAGGGGAGCCCCCAAGCGGAGCAUAGUGUUUCUGGAACUGGUGGGUUCUUGGUCUCACUGACUUCAAGAAUGAAGCCACGGACCCUCGCGGUGAGCGUCCUAGUUCUUAAAGGCGGCGUGUCCGGAGUUUUUUCCUUCUGAUGCUCGGAUAUGUUCAGAGUUUCUUCCUUCUGGUGGGCUCCUGGUCUCGCUGGCUUCAGGGAUGAAGCUGCAGACCUUCAAGAGACGGGGUCUUACUCUGUUGUUCAAGCUGGAGUGCAGUGGUGCGAUCACAGCUUACUGCAGCCUUGACCUCCUGGGCUCAAGAAAUCCUGCCACCUCAGCCUCCUGAGUAGCUGGGACUACAGGCAUGCAUAGCCAUGUCUGGCUAUUUAUUUAUUUGUUUUUUUUUUGUAGAGAUGGGGUCUCCCUAUGUUGCCCGGGCUGGUCUUGAACCCCUGGCCUUAAGCAAUCCUCCUGUCUUUACCUCCCAAAGCACUGAGAUUACAGGUGUGAACCACCAUGGCCAGCCUUAUUUUUAUUUUUAAAUCAGCCUUGUCCAGUUGAAUUGGUCAUUAAUCUUGUAUAAUGGUAAUUUGGGGCAGCAUUGGUUGGGCGGGGGGUGGG